GACGAACGCUGGCGGCGUGCUUAACACAUGCAAGUCGAACGGUGAAGCCUUUCGGGGUGGAUCAGUGGCGAACGGGUGAGUAACACGUGAGUAAUCUGCCCUUGACUCUGGGAUAACUUCGGGAAACCGGAGCUAAUACCGGAUAUGACACAUGGCUGCAUGGUUUGUGUGUGGAAAGAUUUAUUGGUCAGGGAUGAGCUCGCGGCCUAUCAGCUUGUUGGGGGGUAAUGGCCUACCAAGGCGACGACGGGUAGCCGGCCUGAGAGGGCGACCGGCCACACUGGGACUGAGACACGGCCCAGACUCCUACGGGAGGCAGCAGUGGGGAAUAUUGCGCAAUGGGCGAAGCCUGACGCAGCGACGCCGCGUGAGGGAUGAAGGCCU
rnacentral:rRNA from 1 species